UACACAUGUGUGUACAUGUGUUUUGUUAUUGUAAUUACUAAUAACACAACAUGUGUUGUGUGAAUGAAUUUCGUAAUACAGACAAGAAAAUAACUUUACGUGCACAUAUUUUUUGUGGUUAUGUUUGUUUUUUAAUGAUCAUAUGUAAAGUACAUACAUAUAUUCAACUGUCAGAGAUGUGCAUAUGUAAAGCAUAUAUAUUCAUACUAAAAAACAUUAGUUAAAUUGACCGUUUUCUUCUCCAUAUAGUAAAAUUAGUAAUACUUUUGAUGAGGGUGACUUUUCGGCUGAUGGCAACGUUCCCGACUGGAUCCCGACUUUAUACCAGAAAAGCCAUCGCGUAAGCGAAGAUUACAUCUGGACGAACCUUCUUCAUCCAAAGUGGCACGGGUCAACGCCAUACCGUCCAGCAACAUAUUUUGCUCCGAAUUUUAUACGGAUGUGAAACAAUUUUGUUCUUAUGUUUGUGAAGUGCUGUAUUGUGUGUUGCGUUUAUGUAUUUUUAAUAACAAAAUAAUUUUUUAGUAGAGGUUGAAAUUUCUGGCAAAGUCUCAGUGGAAGCGAAGUGUUCUGCCUCUGGUUGUGGACGUAUCAUAAAGGGGGCCGGGGGAGUUACCUCCAAUUUCAUCAAACAUUUGAGACGAAGACAUAGCGAGUUAUUUGAGAAGUAUAAGAUUGUGAAGACUCUCAAAUCAGAUAUUCAAACCGCACAACAGAAGUUUGAAAAGAAACUUCUUUUCGCUAUCGUUGAUUGCAGUCUGCCUGUUUCACUUUUUGAACGUCGCUCUUUCCGAGACUCAUAUGAAAUGACUGGACUUAAAGUUCGCAGCAGGCAGACAGCCAUGAUGAUAUUGGAGGACCAAUAUAAUAGCACGUUGGAGAAAAUACGAGCUGAUAUCUCAUCAGCUAAGUAUUUUUGUACAACGGCCGACAUAUGGUCGGGUAAUCACCGCAGCUUCUUCAGAUCCACGUGCCACUGGUUGGUGCUUUAGCUUGCAGGAGACUGACUGGUACACAUUCAUCCGAAAAACUGACGCAGGUCAUUAGCGACAUUAACAGCUCCUUUGGACUACAGUAUAUUUUACUUAGCUGCCCAUCAUUCUUUGCACGAAAAACUUGUGCGCUUAA